GGAACAUUGAUGAAUGGAACAGUAGUCCAUAACAGACAGUCGCAGCGAGCCGGGAUUGGUGCAAGCCGGUACGGAUGUUUGGAUGAAACGGAUCCAGGAAAUGGUUUGCCGAACUUCGAGCGUAGGCAAAUCCGGUCGGCGACCGUUACGAAACAGAGGGGUUAAACGAUUGGUUUAACACUUAGAGUGGCACCGCGGGAACUUAACGGCUCUCGUCUCUUAU
rnacentral:ncRNA from 1 species